rnacentral:rRNA from 1 species
GGGAGGCAGCAGUGAGGAAUAUUGGUCAAUGGACGAGAGUCUGAACCAGCCAAGUAGCGUGAAGGAUGACUGCCUAUGGGUUGUAAACUUCUUUUAUACGGGAAUAAGUGAGGCACGUGUGCCUUUUUGUAUGUACCGUAUGAAUAAGGAUCGGCUAACUCCGUGCCAGCAGCCGCGGUAAUACGGAGGAUCCGAGCGUUAUCCGGAUUUAUUGGGUUUAAAGGGAGCGUAGGCGGACGCUUAAGUCAGUCGUGAAAGUUUGCGGCUCAACCGUAAAAUUGCAGUUGAUACUGGGUGUCUUGAGUACAGUAGAGGCAGGCGGAAUUCGUGGUGUAGCGGUGAAAUGCUUAGAUAUCACGAAGAACUCCGAUUGCGAAGGCAGCCUGCUGGACUGUAACUGACGCUGAUGCU